rnacentral:rRNA from 1 species
CAAUAGCGUAUAUUUAAGUUGUUGCAGUUAAAAAGCUCGUAGUCGGAUUUUGGCUGAGAACGAUCGGUCCGCCGUUAGGUGUGCACUGAUUGGUCUCAGCUUCCUGGUGAGGAGGUGUGCUUCACGGCCACUUAGUCACCGUGGUUACUUUGAAAAAAUUAGAGUGUUCAAAGCGGGCUUACGCUUGAAUAUAUUAGCAUGGAAUAACACCAUAGGACUCCUGUCCUAUUUCGUUGGUCACGGGACGGGAGUAAUGAUUAAGAGGAACAGUUGGGGGCAUUCGUAUUUCAUUGUCAGAGGUGAGAUUCUUGGAUUUAUGAAAGACGAACUUCUGCGAAAGCAUUUGCCAAGGAUGUUUUCAUUGA